GACGAACGCUGGCGGCGUGCUUAACACAUGCAAGUCGAACGGAAAGGCCCUGCUUUUGUGGGGUGCUCGAGUGGCGAACGGGUGAGUAACACGUGAGUAACCUGCCCUUGACUUUGGGAUAACUUCAGGAAACUGGGGCUAAUACCGGAUAGGAGCUCCUGCUGCAUGGUGGGGGUUGGAAAGUUUCGGCGGUUGGGGAUGGACUCGCGGCUUAUCAGCUUGUUGGUGGGGUAGUGGCUUACCAAGGCUUUGACGGCUAGGCGGCCUGAGAGGGUGACCGGCCACAAGGGGCCUGAGGUACGCAGCAGACGGCUACGGGCGGCAGAAGUCGAGAGUAUUGCACAAUGGGGCGAAGCCUGAUGCAGCAACGCCGGGUGCGGGAUGCCCUCCUUCGGGGUGUAAACCGCUUUCGACUUAGACGAAGCGUGAGUGACGGUAAUGGGUAAAGAAGCACCGGCUAACUACGUG
rnacentral:rRNA from 1 species